rnacentral:rRNA from 1 species
CGAAUGGAGCAAUCUGUAAAGAGUCAUGUCUUUACACGAAAGAGGGAACCGGGUGAACUGAAACAUCUAAGUAAUCCGAGGAAAAGAAAGUAACAACGAUACCCUAAGUAGCGGCGAGCGAACGGGGUAGAGCCUAAACCGUAUUCAUGUCAAGGAUGCAGCCGUUGUGGAUAUGGGGUAGCGGGAAAGAGAGAGAAAGAACUGCAAGCUAUU